UACGUAGGGGGCGAGCGUUGUCCGGAGUUACUGGGCGUAAAGGGCAUGCAGGCGGUCCGACACGUUUUGUGUGGCAGCGGGUGGCUUAACUACCCGAGGAUACGAAAGACGGUUGGACUUGAGGACUCGAGAGGGACACGGAAUUCCGGGUGGAGUGGUGAAAUGCGUAGAGAUCCGGAGGAACACCGAAGGCGAAGGCAGUGUCCUGGCGAGUGACUGACGCUGAGGUGCGAAAGCCAGGGGAGCGAACGGG
rnacentral:rRNA from 1 species